rnacentral:rRNA from 1 species
AUUGAACGCUGGCGGCAGGCCUAACACAUGCAAGUCGAGCGAGCGGCGGACGGGUGAGUAAUGUAUGGGGAUCUGCCUGAUGGCGGGGGAUAACUACUGGAAACGGUAGCUAAUACCGCAUACCAUCAGAUGAACCCAUAUGGGAUUAGCUUGUAGGUGAGGUAAAGGCUCACCUGGGCGACGAUCUCUAGCUGGUCUGAGAGGAUGACCAGCCACACUGGGACUGAGACACGGCCCAGACUCCUACGGGGGGCAGCAGUGGGGAAUAUGGCGCAAUGGGGGCAACCCUGACGCAGCCAUGCCGCGUGAAUGAAGAAGGCCUUCGGGUUGUAAAGUUCUUUCGGUAGCGAGGCGUUAACUACAGAAGAAGCACCGGCUAACUCCGUGCCAGCAGCCGCGGUAUAC